rnacentral:rRNA from 1 species
GACAGAGGGGGCAAGCGUUGCUCGGAAUCACUGGGCGUAAAGAGCGCGUAGGCGGGAUGGCAAGUCGGUCGUGAAAUCCCUCGGCUCAACCGAGGAGCGUCGGCCGAUACUGCUGUUCUUGAGGGAUGCAGAGGAGACUGGAAUUCCCGGUGUAGCGGUGAAAUGUGUAGAGAUCGGGAGGAACACCAGUGGCGAAGGCGGCUUCCUGGCCUGUUCUUGACGCUGAGGCGCGAAAGCUAGGGGAGCAAACGGGAUUAGAUACCCCGGUAGUCCACGCCCUAAACGAUGCGAACUGGAUGUUGGUCACACUACGGUGAUCAGUGUCGAAGCUAACGCGUUAAGUUCGCCGCCUGGGGAGUACGGUCGCAAGACUGAAACUCAAAUGAAUUGACGG